AUUUUCUUUCCUACUGUAGUGCGCUUUGCCUGACGUAAUGAAGAAUCUAUUUUCGGAAACGAACGGUCAACGUGACUCGCAAGUGGCUCUAAAAUGGCAAUAUGGAUAUCUAUGGCUGCAGCGUCUGAAAACACAACAGCCGCGAUAAUACUGCAGAAUUCCAGAAAGAAAAGGAAAAAGCUUGAUGCCGAGGAGGGUGGCGUGUGUGCCAGGAAGGGAACCGCUCUUGCUGAAUCGCAGUGCAGAGGAGGAAACCCUGCCGUCACACGCUGCACGGAUUCCAGGUCCUGACAGGGGUACAAGCGGAGGAAUGAAGAGACUUCAGCCUGUAGGAGGAAAAAUAAAUCAAAAAGGCAAUGCGAGACAUAUGUAGGGCGCGCGAGAAGAGAAGACGCUUAAUCAAAGGGUACUUUCCUCAGACUGCACGGGGAGCGAAGCAGGAGUGGAUGCUGAAAGAAUCUGCGGGCUAUCGGUUGACGCCAGCCGCGUCGGUUUACCGAAGCCUUUAACGCGGGGAACGCUGGAGCACAAAGAACAAAAACAAACGCUCUCCUCCAAACUGCCGCCGCGCUUCCUCCGCGCCGGCCCUCGGAGAGGUGUCCACUGGCUUUAUCGGCGCAAAGCCAAUGAAUAUGCAGUUAAACAAACAGCGAUCCCGGUAUAAGGCCGCCGUAGCUAACAUUAUUAUCUCCGUGUCCGCGGCUUGUCUGUCGAAGAGAAAACGGCAGGCCUGUUCGAGGAACUCUUGUGGGGAUUUAAACGCGGCAGAAUUCUGAUCAGAGCUGGAACUUGUCCCAGAAAGCAGAGCUAAUAGCCUUUCUCUCGGCUGAAUAAUGCUUUGAAUCUCUAAUGCGGCUCGUAUGAAGGACUGUAGUUUAACGUGCCUGUGAAAGGACUUCAUUUCCGACAGCACAAUGUUCCAAAGAACUGCACUAAUGCGUUCGUCGAGGUAGGAUCCGAAGAAGACCAGCCCUCGACUAAGUGACCAUUAAUGUCUCCCUCAGACUCUUAACUUUCCUCACAGAAGACAUUUUGCCACAUUGGCAAAGCCGAAAGCAGAACUAAUUCCGAGUGUGAUAAAUUGAUGAUUCCACAUCCAUAACAUCUCCGGAAAAUCUGGGAGCAUAAACAUUUCACUAAAUGUUUGUAAUGCAGGACACGUGCAUCACAACGUUUCCACACACAGUAUGCACGUGUGGCAACAUCUGCAGAGGCAAGACUUUUCCUCAUAUCCUACGUUCCUUUAUUGCACAUUCAGAGAUUGUACUCAGAGAAUGCAGGGUAGAUUUCACGCAGGUGCUAAAAGGCUUCAUGUAAAUGCCAUCGCAGAAGCUUUCUAAUCAAUAAAACAUGGGCCUGUAUUUCAGGAAUGUGAAAUAAAAUAAAUAAAUAAAGUGAAUUCCAUUUCACCCGGGCAGUCCAUGCAUUGUAGGGGUGUGCUCAUUCAGGUAAAUGCACAUU